rnacentral:lncRNA from 1 species
AGCUCUGACUGUAGUAGGGCCCUCGGUCGAUCUUCUCUACCUUUAGGCCAACAUUGAAUGAAUCUAUCGAGCCGACCUCGUCUGAUGAGCUCCUCAAUCUCAUCUCAAAGCUGAAUACACUCCUCCAUGUCGUGACUGUGGUCACGAUGAUAGAGACAGAACUUGUUAGGGUUAUGCUUCUCAGGGUGUGUGCGCAUCUUUU